UUCAUUUUCUUUCUAUUGGACUUGGUACCACAUCGAGAAAGCUUGAGAAAUUCUCCCACUUUCCUUGUAUAAAUACACCAAGCUAGUUGGCUUUCCUAAUUAGGAAACUGAAGGCUUUUAAUUUGAAGGGUUAAUAGUACCGAGGUUCGAGAUCGAGAAAGAAUUUAAAUUUAGAAGCGAUUUAAGGAAAGAAUUUUGGAGAAGGAUGUUCUGGAAAGGAUAAGAAUGUGAUGAACUAAGGUUUUAGUGGCAACAAGAGGCUUGUAGAGGAAGAUGUUAAUAUAAUAUGCUUGUGUUUGUGUUUAAGUUAGGAGCUUAUGAUGUAAUCUUUAGUUACAAACUUGAAGACGUUGUAAGAACUUUAUAUUAUGAAGUGUUGUUAAGGUUGUGUAAGCA